GGGGAUGUGGCUCAGUGGUAGAGUGCUUGCCUAGCAUGCAUGAGGCACUGGGUUUGAUCCUCAGCACUACA
rnacentral:tRNA from 1 species